GCAUUUCGUUUUAUCAGAAGAAGAAACAGCCUCCCUGUUACUCUUUCUUUGUUUUUCAUUUUCUUCUUGUUCUCUGCUAAUUUGCUUCUUCUUUCUUCUUCUUUCUCGAGAACCUAACAGAGAAUUCCCGAGGAAAAACUAAAACUGAUGAUAAUUUGAUAAAUAAACGUUGAGGAUCUAAAUUCUAAACCAAGCGAGGGAGACAGAGAGAGAGAAGAAUCUGAGAAUUGUUAGAUACAUUUGGAGAGAUUGGAGGAAAGUUUUUUUGCUGGUUCUAUUACCUGAUCGUGAAGAUUGCUUAUGUUCUGUUGGAAAUUUGAGAAUCUGUAAGAAGAAAAGAUACAUUCCAAAGAGACCGGAGCUGCUUUCUGAAGAAAUUUGGACUGAAUAUAUCUGCAAAUGGGCAGAUCAAUUGCUGACAUAUCAAAAGAUUAGAAUCUUACAUCACAUGAGAGUCGAAAGAACAGGCUUCAAAUGUCAAUAUUUCGUUGAAAAUCCAAAGUAGAUUUGUGUUUCUACCAAAAGGACUAAAAGAAGCAAAGCUUUUGGUGAAUUAGUUGGAAAGGCAGAGCCUGAGUAAUUCAGGUGUGCAAAGAAGGAUGGAAAAGGACUCAUUAAGGACCAACAACAAUGGUAAUAACACCAACCACUGCAGAGACAGAACCGGAAGCGACGGGGGAUUGUUAAGAUCCAGCUCAGAUCCGGCGAAGCAAACGCCGUCGUCGUCUGAUUUUGUUUUGCAGUGGGGAAACCGGAAGCGCCUCAGGUGUAUGAAGAUCCAGGUCAAAGACGAUCAGUCCGGCCCGGUUCAUCGAACCACGGUUCGAGUUGAUCGCCGGGUCGUGAGGGCCGAUAAAGACUCUUCCAGUCAGCCAAGCAAUAAUAAUCACGGGAAUGGAUGUUUUAACCUCCGUCAAAGGCCUCCUUCUCCUCAAGCUCCGCCACCUCAGCGCGUUCUCAGGAACUCUGAGAAUCCCAGUGCUAUGAGAGGCCAAAGCAACGGUGGUGUAAGGGGAUUCGCUUCGCCGGACAGGGGUGCGCGCGAUAAGAGAGGUGGUAACCAUAACAAUAACAACCACUACAGCAACAAUGAUAACAACCACCAGCACAACAACAAAUCAGCGGCAUCUUCGGAGACGGCUCACGAUAGCAAAAAGGGAGGCUCGUCUUCCGGGAGCGGUGAGGCAGUUCCACCCGUUUGGCCACCGAAAUUCGUGAUUGCUUUAACGAAUAAAGAGAAAGAAGAGGAUUUCCUGGCCAUUAAAGGAUCUAAGCUACCACAAAGACCCAAAAAACGAGCCAAGUUUAUCCAACGUACCCUCAAUGAAUUUAUUCACUUCAUUAAAGGGGAAAUAUUUUCCCAAAAAGUGGGCGGCCGAAUGUCGAAUGUCUUCGCAGAGACAAAAUGAGUGGGUCCCACCGCCGUACACGUGUGAUUCAAAAAAUAGUUUCUUGAUGAAAUGGUUUUGUAAAUGAAGAGCAACCGACAAAAAAAAGGACAGAGAGCAUGUGGCUCGGCCCGACCCAUCAUUGUCGGGGGGGCAUUUCUGCAAAUAUGCUGUGAUUGUAGGGUUACUUUUGAAUAAUAAAUGCAACUGUUGAGGCGGUGGUUGGGAUGAUUCUCUUCCCAAAACGACACAAAACUGGUGAGCCCGGGGGCAUGGCUAUGCGAUUUAACCCUUGAGCGAUAUGAGGUCAGGGAGAAGAAGAUCUCAAAGAAGAGACCAAGAGGUUUGAAGGCAAUGGGUAAUAUGGAAUCCGAUUCUGAAUAGAAAACCGCCCAGGUGUUGGUUUUUGCAUUGCAAUAUGGAAUGAUGAUGAUGAGAUGUUGAUGGGCAGAAGACCUAGGCCUUUUUGUUUUGGAGGAUGACAGAAAGGGUGUAAACUGUGUAAAUGAUGACCUUUGGUCUUUGGGAUAAUGAAAGAAUUAAAUUAAGCCAAAAUUUUUGGUGUUUACUUCAACCUUU